rnacentral:lncRNA from 10 species
CUUUAAAAUUCAAGGCUUUUAUAACAUUAUGUCUCAAUUUUGACCAUUAUGAGCUUAUUUUUCCAGAAGGGGUAGCUAUACUUAUAACAGAUAAAACAAACUUAAAAUCAACAACAGUAAAAACAGAGAAAGGAGGUCAUUAUAUAAUAAUAAAGGGAUCAAUUCAGCAAGAAGAUAUAACAAUUCUAAAUAUACAUAUUAGUAAGAGAGUGAGCUUAGUAAAUUUGAAAGUCCCUUUGCCACCUGUCCUUUUUUGUGCUCUGCUGAAGCAGCUGUGACCAUGUCCGGGAUCAUUUCCUACUUUAUUUUCUUAUGGAGAUGUUGGGGCUCAGAAAACAAAACCCCAAAAUAUGAUUCUUUGGUACCUUGAUUGGGGAAUUGUGGGGAACAGCAGCUAUAAGCAGAGGUUUUCUCUGAGGUUCCCGUAUCUGCCUGAAGACAUCCAGGAAAGAUAUAUAACAGGAAAAGAGGCUAAAUGUUGACAUCACCCCAGAGCGGCUUUGCCUGAAAGACUUUACCUACAUAGCAAGACAGCCUUUGUUCACCAUACAUUUCUUUCCCUCACCUUCCCAUAGCUUGUGGACACCUCCCCUAAGAAUCCCCAAGACCCUAUUCUGAUGCUAUACAAACUUCAAUCAUUGGCCCUUCUUCAAGUCUUAUAGUUUGUGAGGCUCUGCACAUGCAUGUAAUAAAUUUGUAUGCCUUUUCUCCUGUUGAUCAGUCUGCUGUCACUUUUUUCCAGAGACUCAAAUUCUCACAUCUAGAGAGUAGAGGGAAGUUUAAAACACACCUAUACACUAUACACGAAAUUAGAUCAUUACGUUUUUCUGGUUAAAUAUUUUAAGAUGUAGGAAAAUAUUAUUUCCCUUUCCUAGUGUGUUAAGAUUUUCCAAUCUGGACUUUCUCACAGAAUUAUCUUGCCUAUUUCUUUGUCUACUGUGUCUUCUCAAGAUGGCCCAUCACAUGGAUUCAGUCCGGUAUGUACCUGUGAUCUGUGCAUCACGCCAUGAUCCUGUUUGGGCAAAUUGUUCUCAUGAUGCCAAGAUCUCUUUUGAUGUCAAAGAGAAGCAGAAUUAGAGUAGGGAAAUAAAAAGAAACAAGCUCAUCUUUCUGAGUUAGUUACCGGUGAGCAAUGAGGAAGACAUAUCCUAUUUGUGAGUCAUAAAUGCUCAUUAGAUAGUGGACUCUCUAGACUUCUUCAAAGUAUGCACCAGGUAUCAUUUCCUUUAUUCAAUUUGAAACUGUUAACAAUGACUCAUUGUUUUAAAAUAUGAAAAGGCAUUUGGAGCUACUCUGAAUAAACUUUCACUGGCCUAAUAUGGGACUUGGGCACCAAAAUGAAUAUUGGCAGUAAUAGAUUACAACCCAUCAAAUAAAAUUAAGGAUUGAUGAGUCCAUAUUGAUAUGAAUUAAAUGGAGAAGUUAAAAAAAGGAAGAUGAGAAAGUUAUCCAUGACAGUAGAAUGUCAAUGAGUAAAUGUAGAAGGAAUAAAGGAGUUUCAAAUCACCAUUUACAGCCAUUAUAAUAAAACUUGAUCAAGUGAAUAUCAUCAAUGAAUGCUAUAACUAUUGGGUGGAAGUUUAAUGGGGAGCAGGAUAUUUGCACACUUCAAAAUAUUUUCCCAAUAACUGUUUAUUAAUUUCAAAGGGAAAAUGUUAACUUUACUGUGAAGAAACUUGAGAACAUACCCUUCAUCACAGGAUCAAAGUUAGCAGCAUUAAUAAUGGUCAAACUAGCAUGUGUCUCCUGAAGUCACACACUGAAAGGACACAUUACUUAUGCAAUAUUUCUGUUAAAAUGCAAAACCUGAAUAUAAGCAUGAGGAAACAUCAGAUAACCUCAGACUAAGAAAUACUCCACAUAACGACUGGUCUGCUAUCUUCAAAAAUAUUAGCACCAUCUAAUAUAAAGACAGUCUGAGCAAGUAUUUCAGGUCUAAAUAAAGUAAGGAGAUAUGAUAGCUAAAUGCAAUGUAUGAACAUGGAUAAAAAUUGCUUUAUAGGAUAUAUUGGAAAAAUGGCAACAUUUGGAUAUAGCAUGUAUAUUAGGUAAUAAUAUUGCAUCAACAUUCAGUUUAAUUGAUAUCUUUACUGUGGUUAUACAUGAAAAUGUCCUUAGUCUUAGGACAUAAGUCUAUCUCUAUCCAUGUCAUCUCUCUAGAGAGAGAGAGAAAUCAAAUGUGGCCAAAUGUUGAAUCUAGGUGAAGACUAUAUGGCAUAAGGAAUUCUUUACUCUUAUAACUAUUCUGUAAGUUUGAAAUGUUUUCAAAAAUGAAAAAAGUUUAAAAAUAAAACGAAUUAGGAUUGAAAAAGUAUUUUUUCUUUGGCGUGUUAAAAGAAACAUUUAGGCAAAUUAAAUUUAACAGAUUUUAAUUCAUCAAAGAAUAAUUCAUGAAUUGGGAAGCUCCCAGACAAGCACAAGUUCGGAGCAACUCCUUGGCUUCCAUUUGGUUAAAUAACAUUUAUGGAUAGAAAAAGGAAAGUGAUUUGAGUAGUUGCAACUGAGACCAUAUGAUGUUCUACUAAAUAUCUGAAGAUUAAGAUGAAGAAUUGAGUUAUGAUCACAUACCUCAAUUAUUAAAAGUAGCCCUAAUCUAAAAAAAAGAAAAAAAGAAAAAAAAAAGGAAAAGGAAAGUGAUGUACAGAAAACCAAAGUGAGGGACAGAAAUAGCUGGGCUCGUUAGAGCUCAACGUUUGCUUUAGUUGAACAUGGUUUAAACAGUUGGCCCCUGUGAUUGACCAGAACUGGGCUGCCGUGGACUUGGAUACUUGUUGGAAAGGUAGGUUACAGUUUGUUUACAUAUCCAGUUAGGUUACAGUUUACUAUGCAUGGAGAAACGUUUAUGCCAAGCCUAAAAUAUGUAAAGAGGCAGCUUUAGGCUAAACUUAAUUUAACAAUUCUUAGUAUAAUAAGAGUGAGGAGUUUGGGUCUUUUGGAGGAAAUGCUGAAGUAUAUAAUAAAAUUUACUUCAUAGGAGCAUCUACUAUAAAAACCCUUUAAAAAUAUUUCUAACACAGGAAAUCUUUCAUCUCCUUGGGUCUCUGAAAAUAAAGAACUUCUGGCAAUGUAGCUGACUGAGUUGAUACUGACAGACCCACUUCCUGGUAUGAGUAAGUAUAAAUUCUUCAAAGAUUUUUUAAAAAAUUCAAUCGUAGUUGAACUUGAGAAAAGUAGAGAAAAAUUCUCAUUUGUCAGAAACUAAGAGGGAACUCAAAUGGCAAACACUAGCUGAUGUCCUGUGGCCUGUGGGAAGGUUUGGCAUCCAGUUAGAUGCCCUCAGAACUGGAGGCUGGUGGUUAAAACUCAGGCAGGUACAAGAAAUGGGACCUGAAACUAUCACCAGGCAGGAUCUAGGAAGUAAGACCCUUAUAUAAAGUUUAUAUUCUUAAGAACGCUGUUUGGGCAGAUUGUUCUCAUGAUGCCAAGAUCCCUUUGAUGUCAAAAGAGAAGAAUGUAAACUUAAGGUUUACAUUCUGAAAGCAUUUUUGUGCAUAAGAUGGAGACAAGAAAACCUUAGUCUGCCUACAGGAAUUUUAUGUGGUAAUAAAGUCAUGAACAACUAAACCAUGCAAUAUCACCAAGCUUCUUAAUUCACACUGUAUGCAUAGUGGAGGAACCUCAAGGUGAGAAACUGCUGAUACUAAAUAGUGCAUGUCCUUGAAAUAAUCAGAAACAAAAGCAAAAGGAAUAGCACACAGAAAGAACACCCCAAAAAGAAAAAAAUAUAAAAAUAAAAAAGCAUUAAGCACAAGGAAAAAUAAACCUCUAAGAAACCACACACAGAUUGCAUGGGAUCCCCCACAGGGGUCAAUUUCUGCAUAAGAUAAAUGCAUAGGCAAAUAUUACAAAAUAUGUAAGAAAAUAAUUUAUCAUGAGUAGUAUAGUAGACACAGGAAAAGGGAAUAUAACCCCUGGGAAUUGAGAUAACUGAAAAUUCUGAAGGAGACUAUAUAUAAAUGGGUUUAAAAGGUAAACAAAAAAUGGAAAUCGGGGGGUUGGGGGCAAGGGGAGGGAGAGCAUUAGGACAAAUACCUAAUGCAUGUGGGGCUUAAAACCUAGAUGAUGGGCAGGGUGCAGUGGCUCAUGCCUGUAAUCCCAGCACUUUGGGAGGCUGAGAUGGGCAGAUCACGAGGUCAGGAGAUCGAGAUCAUCCUGGCAAACAUGGUGAAACCCCGUCUGUACCAAAAAUACAAAAAUUAUCUGGGCAUGGCUGUGUGCACCUAUAGUCCCAGCCACUUGGGAGGCUGAAGCGGGAGAACUGCUUGAACCCAGGAAGUGGAGGUUGCGGUGAGCUGAGAUCGGGCCACUGCACUCCAGCCUGGUGAUAGAGCAAGACUCUGUCUCAAAAAAAAAAAAAAAAAAACACCUAGGCGAUGGGUUGAUGAGUGCAGCAAACCACCAUGGCACGUGUAUACCUAUGUAACAAACCUGCACGUUCUGCACAUGUAUCUCAGAACUUAAAGUAUAUUAAAUAAAAAUUUAAAAAUGAAAAUCAUAAUGAAGAAAUGGAAUAUAGAAAAUGACUGAUUUGGAAAAGAACAAUGUAGAAUUACCCUUUGUUGGGACCAUCCUUCCUAUCACUUUCCUUUUACUUGAAGCCUUUCUUUUGUUUUUUGUUUUUGUUUUUAUUUUUAUUUUUUGAAACAGAGUCUUGCUCUGUCGCCCAGCCUGGAGUGCAGUAGUGCAAUCUCAGCUCACUGCAACCUCUGCCUCCUGGGUUCAAGCAAUCCUUCCACCUCAGUCUCCUGAGUAGCUGGGAUUACAGGCGCCUGCCACCAUGCCCAGCUAAGUUUUGUAUUUUUACUAGAGAUGGGGUUUCUCCAUGUUGGUCAGGCUGGUCUCCAACUCCUGACCUCAAAGUGACCCACCCACCUCGGCCUCCCAAACUGCUGGGAUUACAGACGUUAGCCACAGCUCCUGGCCUAGUCUUUUUCUUUUGGCAAAGUUUUCUGUUAACCUAUUCUCUCAUUUCUGUUUUCCUGAAAAUAACUUAAUUUCAUUAUCUUUUUUGUUUCUCUGGGCAUAUAAUUCUCUAUCGGCAGUGUUUCCCUUCACAAGAUGUCUCUUCAUCGUCUUCUCACUUCCAUUAUUUCAGUUGAGUUUUAGGCUUCCUGUUCUUUUUGUAAAAGUGUAUGUUGUUUUUUCCCCUGUUGCUUUUACUUAUUUUAUUAUUUUAUUAUAAAAUUAUAUAUAUAUAAUUUAAGGUGUACAAUACAAUGUUUUGAUAUACAUUGUAAAAUGAUUACUAAAGGCAAGAUAAUCAACAUAUUCAUUGCCUCACAUAGUUAGUUGCCUUUGUGUGUGUGUGUGUGUGCAUGUGUGUGUGUGUGAAAACACUUAACAUCUACUCUCUUAGCAAGUUUCAAGCAUACAGUACAGUAUUAUUAACUGUAGUCACCAUGCUGUACAUUAAAUUUUUAGAAUUUAUUCAUUCUACAUAACUGGAACCUUGUACCCUUUGACAGAUAUCUUCUAAUUUCCCUCACCUUCCUGCCCCUAAUAACCACCAUUCUACUCUCUGCUUUUGUGAGUUUCACUUUUUUUAAGGUUCCACAUAUAAGUGACAUCAUGCAGUACUUUUCCUUCCGUGUUUGCCUUAUUUCACUUAACAUAGUAUCCUCCAGGCUCAUCCAUCUUGUCACAAAUGGCAGAAUUUCCUUUUUUAAAGCUGAAUAAUAUUUCUUUAUAUGUAUGCUUUAACAUAUAUUAAUAUUAUUAUAUAUGAUGUGUGUGUGUAUGUGUGUGUGUGUGUGUAUAUAUAUGUGUGUAUAUAUAUAUAUAUAUAUCUCCAUUCAUCCUUUAAUGGACACAUACUGAAUCCAUAUCCUGGCUAUUGAGAAUAAUGUUGCAGUAAACAUGAGGUGCAGAUAACUCCAGGAUACUGAUUUUUUACCUUCAGAUAUAUACCUAGAAGUGGAAUUGCUAGAUUUUAUAUGGCAGACCUAUUGUAAUUUUCAAAGAAACUUCCAUACUGUUUUCUAUAAUGGCUGUAUCCAUUUCUUGUUACGUUUAUGAUUUUCUUUUUAUCUUUGGUUUUCAACAACUUUCCUUGAUGUGCCUACAUGUUGUUUUUCUUUUUAUUCACUCUGCUUGGGUUCAGAGAUGUUCUAGAAUCUGUGACUGGAGGUCUGUCAUCAAUUGUCUCAAAUUGCCAUCCAGUAUCUCUUUGUUUAUAACUUCUCCAUUCUCUCUUCUCUCUUUCUGGGACUCCAAUUUACAUGUAUGUUAGACUUUUCACUAUGCUCCAAGUGUGUCUUAUGCUAUUUUCUCCAUUUUAAAACUUUUCUUCUCUCUGCAUUCCAAUGUGAAUAUUUUCUACUUCCAUUUUGCUGUUCCUCUCUCCUGUCUAAUCUUCUGUUAAGCUUAUUUAUUGAAUUCUUAAUUUCAGUUUUUGAGUUUUUUGGUUCUAGAAUUUUUACUGAACUUUUUAAAAAUAGAUUCUACUUCUUUAAUAAAAUUUACAUUUUUAAUCUAUUAUUUCAAACAUAUUAAUUGUAAGUAUUCUAAAGUCAGUGUUAGUACCUGUAUAUAGAUCAUCCUUGGCUCUGUUUCUAUUUUCUUUUUUCUUCUUGAUUUUGCUCAUUUAGUCAUUUUUUUCUGGCAUACUUGGUAAUUUUUUUAAUUGAAUGCCAGAAAUUCAGGAAUUAUAUAUGAAAAACUAGAGGCUGGAGGUGAUCUUGUCUUUCAGCUGAAGGAAUUUAAUUUUUUUCUGAGACCAUGGUCUCUCAAAUACUGCCUGCAUAAGUCAACUCCCAAUGCUCAUAAACAACUGUUUUCUUAGUUUUGUCUAAUUGUCAGAGUCAUUCCUACUGAGAGGUUGAAUCUUCUAUCAGUUACUUUGUCACAACUGGAAGUGGAAUUCUGUUUUUUAAUUUUUUUAAUUAUACUUUAUGUUCUAGGGUACAUGUGCACAACGUGCAAG